AUCAACGCAGGGAACCCCUGGGCAACGCAACAUUCCAAAUCAGAACCUUGGAGAACCUGCGAACGUUCUCUCGGCCCUUUGCGAGGCGGUGCGCGCGCAGCCAUGGCGGUCAAGAUCAAGGUGGUUUAUUGUGGAGCCUGAGGCUACAAACCCAAGUUUCAACAGCUCAAGAAGGAACUCGAAAAAGAGUUUCCGGGCAAGCUGGAAAUUAGCGGCGAAGGGACUCCACAAGUCACAGGAUGGUUUGAAGUGAUGGUAGCUGGGAAGAUGGUGCACUCCAAAAAGAACGGAGAUGGCUUUGUGGACAACAAUGCCAAACUCAACAAGAUAAUUGAGGCCAUCAAAACAGCUUUGGCAUGAGGACGGCUUUAGGCCAUGGCUAGCAGCUCAAAAUGCAAGAGCUCAAGAUAAAAAUCUGUUUUGUUCAUCUUGGCAAAUCGCUCAAUGACGGGAGCUGCUGAAAUGUUGCCCGACACCUGGCAGUUCCCUGAAAACUCUCCGCUGGAUGCCAACUUGAUCAAGGCUGGAUGGAAGAACUUGUGCUCUAACUCAGUGUUUGGGUGUGAAUUAAGUCUGCAAUUCCUAACGUAUUUGUCUUCAGUUUUCAUUGUGUGCUGCAUGCAAAUAUGGCUUUCUUUGGGGUUAUUUUUUU